ACCAGAUCCUCCUCCAAGUUUCACUGGCAAAGAAACUCUAACCACUUAGGGGCCCAGACAAACGCAGAUGGCAGAAACGGGCUGGCACCUGACAAUACGGCCAUAAAUCUAGCCCAUACUAUGUCCUUUUCCUGAGGUCCAGAAUGAGCGGAUGCAUCUGGUGACCUGGGCCAUGCACCAGAGCGUGACCUUUGAAACACAGAUGUUUGGGGACUUGCCAGUUCCCCUUCUCGUCAAACAGAGAGCAUAAUGCCUCUGCUUCACAGGUGCGUAAUGAGGAGCAGAUGAUAUACUGGAUGGAAAGUAGUCCAAAAGGUCAAGAGUCCUGCAGAAUAAAUCACCGGGCUGUGGUGGAGAGUUUUCUUCAGCUGGGCUCAGAAGAGGAAGUCAGAAAUAAGAAAGCUGAGGAGGAGUCAACAGCGGCAAGGAAAUGGGAACUUCAGUCCUACAACCACAAGGAGCAAAUUACCUAAAUGACCUUAGAAGCUGAUUGUGUCCAUAGCCUCCAGGUAAGAGCCUGACCUGGCCAACAUCUUAACUUUAGACUGAGAGACCCUCAAGUGAACCUGGGUGAGCCCACUUGGACUUCUGACCCUUAGAAGAAUGACAUCCUAAGAGGAUACUGUUUUGAAGGCCACAAAUAUAAGCUCUGGAGUGAUUUUGGAAUCCAGACCUGCACUCUACUACUAGUUGGC
rnacentral:lncRNA from 1 species